UCUAAAACGAAGUUCAUAUGAUAUACUAUAUAAAUUUUUUUUAAUUAAAAAUAGAUUCAUUCUAGAGUAAAUUAGCUCAAUAUACAAAAAGAAGUGAGAUACCAUAGAGUUGAGGGAAAAUGGUGAUGAUGGGGGGGAAAAAAUUGGGGGAAAAUAAGGUAUGGAGUGCAAAUAGGGUAUAUGUUGUGUGUAGGGAGUACAAAUUCUCUUCAUUCUAACCGAAUUUGAACAUUGCUUCUUUGAGUUUACAUAUUAGUUUGAUUAUAAGCAUAUAGUAUAAAAAUGAAAAUCUGAAACCAUGCAUUUAAAAGUUGAAAAAACUCUUAAUGUUUCUUGAAUUCUUGGUCUUUUAUAUCUAUUUUCAACAUAUGUUCUUUUGUGGGUGAUUCAGGGAUUUGCAGAAAGCAACAUGUAAUUUUACUACUUUGAUCCAAAGAGCAUUUGGACCUGUCUACAAAGCUCAAAUGUCCACAGGUUUACUUUCAAAGUUCUCGCCACUGAUUCCAAACAGGGAAAAAACGAGUUUCGGACAGAGAUAAGAACAUAAAUCUAUGAAAAUCUACUUUAUGAUUAUGUGUGACAUUCACAUCUAACUAAUAAGAAACUGUCUCUCUUAUAUGGUAAGUACGGUUCCCAACCUGUUCUUUUCUGUUUAAUACAUCUUCUGUAACAUUCUUUUUGUGCUUAGUCGUUACAAAAAAAAAUACAAUUAUUCUUGUCUUUCGUGUGGUUCUAUGUUAAGAUUCUUCAGAAGGCUAUAUAAGUGUCUAUGUCUUAAGUCAUGCAAUUAAUGGCUGCUUUUACUUUCCCGAAACCUCUCCUAGACAAGAAAUCAAGAUGAAAUGAUACAAACAAUUUUCAACUACCAUUAAAUUUGUACCAUAAAAAAAGUACCAAAACCAAGAAGACAAAUCACAAAAAUUUAUGCUAUGCUAUAAAUGUCAAUCAUCCAAAUGAAGUAAACCUUAAAUCAUUAAUUGUAUCAAAACUAUAUACGUUUUCAAAUGUUUAACAAUUUUUUUAUAAAUAUUAGCCCGCAGCGUAGCGCGGGUAUUUACCUAGUUUAUAUCAAUGUUUACUAGAACUGAUAUAACAUUCUCAUUAUUUUAGGUUCAUUUCUGUAUCAAUAAUUACAGAUUCAAUCAUUAUAUACACGAACUGAUUUAUUUAAAGAGAAAUUUGCUAAGAUAGUUAUUUUUAAGUUUUUAUCACAAAAAUAGUCAUCAAUAAAGAAAAUGACCAAAAUAAAUUUUAUUAAAAAGUGAAAAUGUAUUUUUACCAUAGGGUUAACUAAUCUAAACUUAGGAUUUAGAAUAGGGUUGGUUUUCAGGGAUAGACUUCCAAAUUUAAAAAAAAAAUUAAAAAUUAAAAAUUUCAAAAUAAAAAAAAAACUAUUUUGAUCAUUUUUAAAGCUAUUUUUGUGACAAAAACUUAAAAAUUGCUAUUUGAGAGAAUUACCCUUAUUUAAAUCUACGAUUCGCAAAUGGAAAAUUCUCUCAAAUACUUAUUUUUAAAAUUUUUGUCACAAAAUAACAUUCAAUAAAGAAAAUGACCAAAACUCUUUUUAUUUUAAAAUUUUUAAUAUUUAUUUUUUAAUUUUUUAAUUUAAAAUCUUAUCCUCGUAACUCCGUCCAUUAACUCUAAACUUUAAAUCUACUCCAUCCAUUAACUCUAAACUUUAAAUCUAAGUUAGUUAACUUUACGGUAUAAAUAUAUUUUUUUUCUUCUCCUCCAAAUUAUAGUGACAAGAAACUACAAUUGAAAAUGCUCAGACCGACUCAUACAACCUAUAUAUAAUAUAAGAGUGAUGAUGGCAGACAAAAUUUUGUUAUUUGUGUUUAGUACUACUGUUCAGACUUCAGAUUAUGUCCGAACACAAAAAUUAAAUACCAUAUCGAACCAUACCAAACCAAGAUAAAGAGUUCUAAUUCUGGUUCCUAUAACUUGAACCAAAAAACCCCAACAGAGAGCCAUCAUCAGGCAGGGGAAGCUAAUUUAGCUUUAGCUUUUGGUUUAGCAACAGUUUUCUAGCAGUUGCUACAGAGCUUACCAUAUGUAUAACAGACAGUUCAGGUCGAACUUUAGCUCAUAAGGAAUUCUGCGGUUGAGAUGACCAUAGGUUUUAUUCAUGUCUGCGGUUUUUGGGACCCAACCUGACGCCUUUGAGAUCUUUUUGAUACAAAGAAAAUAAAUACCAAACACAAAAAACCUGUGAAUCAUCAAUACGCAUCAAAACAAUAUCUUGAUUUCUAUCAAAUGGACUAUAUGAAUAACAGAAAAGAAAAGAGAGAGGGGAUUUUAAUCGUUGUGGGUUCUAUUCCUUUAUAAUGAUAGAGCUCAGUUUUUACUUCUUCUACCAAUAAACCACACAGAUAAUCAAAGGACAAUCUACCUCUUUCGUUCUGCAAACGGCUCAAAAUGUUUUUGAUAUAAACAGUCUUUUUGGGGGCUAAUCCUCCACAUCUUAUAGCAUUCUCGAUUGAUCUUGGCUCAGCAGCGAUAACCUACAGGGUAUGCAAAAAAAAAAACGAAGCUUUUUCAUAAUGGCAAACAAUCAAUAAAAAGAACAUAUGGAGUAAUUGUAAGCUCAUCAACUACAAAGCUCAAGGAGGAAAAGAAUUUAUGUGAGUAAAUCUUGACAUUAUAUAACAAUCCAGUGACACAAAUCUUUUCUAUUUAACAAUAUCAAAAUUCUUUUUUUCAAAACAUUUCAACAAAUUUCAAGUUAAAGUAAGCUCAGAGAUUCCCCCAACUUUUGCAAGCAAAUAGUUUGACACUGUUUUUUUGCCUUUAUGCAAACACUAAGAACGAAGUGUAGCAUUCGUUAGCUGAAACCCAUUACCAUAUCAACUUCACAAACCCUAGGCCUUUACACUUCCCAAAUCUUUCAAAAAACUAAUGAAACCUAGUUGUUUGCUAGAGUAAACACGGCGAGCUGGCGUAUUCCCAUUCAGGUUUGAAUAUAAUGGUUUUUUGUCGAUUGAUUCUCUCCUACCCAAAAAUUGAAACAUUUACCUUCCAAGACACAUUAUGAAUUAUCAAUUACACAUAAAGACACAUUGGGUCAAGAGAGCACUUUUUUAUGCUCAUUUGUCUGAAUUGCCCUUCAACUAGAGAGAAGGUGUCGGUAACAUUUGUCAAAAUUCUUUUCAAUAUUCUCUAUAAUUAAUUCCAUUCAACUUUCACCUUUUGAUUUCAUAUUUCUUAAUUCCCUAAACUCAAUCUUGCCUCAAUCUAUCGUCAUCUUCAUCUCUCAUCUUUCGUAUCCUUAUAAAGCUUCUUCUUCUUCACAAAAUUUGUAGAUUUUUUUAUAAUUCUAAAUCACUAAUUUCUGUUUGUCGCUUUAUCUUUCACUACUUUAUGUUUUAAAUCUGGAAAUCAUGGAAACCUCAGAUUGAGGCUAAGGAAAAUCUAUUAUGAAAUCUCAGAUUGGGAAAUUCCAGAUCUUCACCGAAUAUAUCCAAGGUUUGCUUUUAACUGAACUAUGAGAAUUUCAUAUACAUAUUUUUUUCCCUCUUUCAUACUUGUUUCUAAUUGAUAUACAAGAAGAUAAGAAAUAGAUAAAAAUUUGAUUUUCUUCUUAAGCAUACAUCGAAGCCUAUGUCUCUCCUGCAACAUUUGAUUCACAUGUCGCCCAUGCUUUUCAUGUCCAACAAUUUCCUUGUCCACAAAUGGGCUAUCCAUAAAGCUGUCGUCCAUGAAUUUCAUGUCCACCAAGCUCGUAUCCAUCCAUAUCCUCCCCAUCGUUCUCUUACCCACCAAUCUCAUAUCUGCAUCUCUCUUGUAUAUCAAUUUUUGGAUAUGACUUAACUAUGUGUGUGAGGUAACUAUUAUCUAAACGGUGGUAUAUUUUGAGUUAAGUGUGACUUCUCUCUGUUUGUAAGCAAAUAAGGGUUUGGAAAAUAGUCUCUUGUUGUUGCAUCUGUUGCUAAUGUUGUUCAGACAUGAACUAUGGAGUUCACUUCCAAGUUAAGUUGGUAGCUUCCAUGUUUGGUAUCUAAUUGGCACUAUACAAAAGUCUGGGACAGUUCACAAUAUUCAAUAUGCUGCUCAACUCCACAGAUCUGUCUCCCACAAUCUUCCUGUCCACGCCUUUGUCGAAGGCAUCCACGUACACACAUCCCCUGUCCACAACUCGUCUAUCUCCAACUUCGCAGUCCACACCUCUCUUGUCCACACACACACCUAGACUAGGAAAAACUUCAUCAAUAUAUGUUUUGUUGUAUCAAGAACUACUUCAUCAGUGUUAAAUUGUUUUGAGCAUGUUGUCCUAAAUGAUUAUUUGUUGUUUUUCUCUUUUAAAGGAACUAAUCAGUGUGUCUUUCUUUUCAAUGUUAUUGUUUUAAAUGGUUA